rnacentral:rRNA from 1 species
GGGGGGGACGGAGAAGGCUAUGUUGGCCGGGCGACGGUUGUCCCGGUUUAAGCGUGUAGGCUGGUUUUCCAGGCAAAUCCGGAAAAUCAAGGCUGAGGCGUGAUGACGAGGCACUACGGUGCUGAAGCAACAAAUGCCCUGCUUCCAGGAAAAGCCUCUAAGCAUCAGGUAACAUCAAAUCGUACCCCAAACCGACACAGGUGGUCAGGUAGAGAAUACCAAGGCGCUUGAGAGAACUCGGGUGAAGGAACUAGGCAAAAUGGUGCCGUAACUUCGGGAGAAGGCACGCUGAUAUGUAGGUGAGGUCCCUCGCGGAUGGAGCUGAAAUCAGUCGAAGAUACCAGCUGGCUGCAACUGUUUAUUAAAAACACAGCACUGUGCAAACACGAAAGUGGACGUAUACGGUGUGACGCCUCCCCGGUGCCGGAAGGUUAAUUGAUGGGGUUAGCGCAAGCGAAGCUCUUGAUCGAAGCCCCGGUAAACGGCGGCCGUAACAAUAACGGUCCUAAGGUAGCGAAAUUCCUUGUCGGGUAAGUUCCGACCUGCACGAAUGGCGUAAUGAUGGCCAGGCUGUCUCCACCCGAGACUCAGUGAAAUUGAACUCGCUGUGAAGAUGCAGUGUACCCGCGGCAAGACGGAAAGACCCCGUGAACCUUUACUAUAGCUUGACACUGAACAUUGAGCCUUGAUGUGUAGGAUAGGUGGGAGGCUUUGAAGUGUGGACGCCAGUCUGCAUGGAGCCGACCUUGAAAUACCACCCUUUAAUGUUUGAUGUUCUAACGUUGACCCGUAAUCCGGGUUGCGGACAGUGUCUGGUGGGUAGUUUGACUGGGGCGGUCUCCUCCUAAAGAGUAACGGAGGAGCACGAAGGUUGGCUAAUCCUGGUCGGACAUCAGGAGGUUAGUGCAAUGGCAUAAGCCAGCUUGACUGCGAGCGUGACGGCGCGAGCAGGUGCGAAAGCAGGUCAUAGUGAUCCGGUGGUUCUGAAUGGAAGGGCCAUCGCUCAACGGAUAAAAGGUACUCCGGGGAUAACAGGCUGAUACCGCCCAAGAGUUCAUAUCGACGGCGGUGUUUGGCACCUCGAUGUCGGCUCAUCACAUCCUGGGGCUGAAGUAGGUCCCAAGGGUAUGGCUGUUCGCCAUUUAAAGUGGUACGCGAGCUGGGUUUAGAACGUCGUGAGACAGUUCGGUCCCUAUCUGCCGUGGGCGCUGGAGAACUGAGGGGGGCUGCUCCUAGUACGAGAGGACCGGAGUGGACGCAUCACUGGUGUUCGGGUUGUCAUGCCAAUGGCACUGCCCGGUAGCUAAAUGCGGAAGAGAUAAGUGCUGAAAGCAUCUAAGCACGAAACUUGCCCCGAGAUGAGUUCUCCCUGACCCUUUAAGGGUCCUGAAGGAACGUUGAAGACGACGACGUUGAUAGGCCGGGUGUGUAAGCGCAGCGAUGCGUUGAGCUAACCGGUACUAAUGAACCGUGAGGCUUAACCU